GGUGGAGCGAUUUGUCUGGUUAAUUCCGAUAACGAACGAGACUCUGGCCUAUUAAAUAGACGAUAUAUUUAAAAGUAUAUCGCGCUUCUUAGAGGGACAAGCGGCGUCUAGCCGCAUGAAAUAGAGCAAUAACAGGUCUGUGGUGCCCUUAGAUGUCCGGGGCUGCACGCGUGCUACACUGGAAGAAUCAGCGUGUUUUUCCUUCCCCGAAAGGGGCGGGUAAACCAUUGAAAAUUUGCCGUGAUUGGGAUCGGAAAUUGCAAUUAUUUUCCGUGAACGAGGAAUUCCAAGUAAGUGCGAGUCAUGAGCUCGCGUUGAUUACGUCCCUGCCCUUUGUAC
rnacentral:rRNA from 1 species